GAGGAAUUUUCGUCAAUGGGCGCAAGCCUGAACGAGCGACGCCGCGUGAGGGAUGACGGCCUUCGGGUUGUAAACCUCUUUUGCGAGGGAAAAAGGCAUGGGUGCUAACAUCAUCUAUGCUUGAUGGUACUUUGCGAAUAAGCCCCGGCUAACUACGUGCCAGCAGCCGCGGUAAAACGUAGGGGGCGAGCGUUGUCCGGAAUUACUGGGCGUAAAGCGCGUGUAGGCGGUUUCGUAAGUCCGGUGUGAAAUUCCAUGGCUCAACCAUGGAGCUGCGCUGGAAACUGCGGGACUGGAGUGCGGUAGGGGAGACUGGAAUUCCAGGUGUAGCGGUGAAAUGCGUAGAUAUCUGGAAGAACACCUGUGGCGAAGGCGGGUCUCUGGGCCGCAACUGACGCUAAGACGCGAAAGCGUGGGGAGCAAAC
rnacentral:rRNA from 1 species